CAGGCUUUCAAAUAGUCAGUGAGCUGCUUGGAAAAAUGUGCCAGUACGCAGUGCUGCCAGCGCCUAUUAGAUACCAUUUCUUGUACUGAAUGGGAAGAGGAGGUAACAAAUGUGGACAGAAUAAAGCCAGUUUGUUUUCAGUUCCCAGAAAUGGACAUUUAGAGGAGCAGCACUGAAUGGUUUUGCUUUAACCAGCAGCUGGAAAAUACUCUCCACCCUUCCUAUAAAUUAGAUGCCUCACUUUACAAUAACUUGCAGAAGCUUUUUAAUGCCCAGCUCAGUUUUUGUUUUGUUUUAUAGUUCCAUUUCACUAAAUGAACAAUUGUUUGUGCACUGCAUUCCUGUAAAUUCCAGACUGGGAUUGGGUUGAUUUUAAUUUCUUAUUUUUUAACUCACUGAAUUCCAUUAGUGAGUUUCCUGGCAGUAAGUGGAACUUCUCUGACGAUGAUAUAACAGUGAGACUUGGGAAAUUUCACACCUACCCCACACUUCAUGACUCUACAUGGAGAUAAAGUCUGACAUAUGUAGUUUCUUUUCCUUCUGUCUUACCCCUGACCAUUUCCUUGCUAUAUGCCCAGCUCAGUAGGUAGUACUGGGCUUUGUAGCAUGGAAGAAAGACUUGUAACCCUUAGGCCAGCUGCUUAAUUUGGUCAGUGGAGGGAUUCAAGACCCCAGAGAACAACUUUUAAAUAGUGGCAAGGUGUGGUAUUACACAGUACUCAUAAUUUCAAACUUGGUCUCCAGGCUGCAUCCCAAAAUGCUAUCUUUCAUGUAGGACUAAUGUGUUUGUCAAUUGUUGAGCUUGGGGGAUCUUGCAAGUUGAAAUUCAUGGCUAUGUCAUGUAGAUUUUAGUUUACUAAAGGCACAGGAUUUUGCAUCACCACCUCACUGGCCUCUGCAGUUUGACAGAAAAACUUACAAAGUCUAGCACCAUUGCUGUGUGUGUUUUCCACUGGAUACUAAAAGUAGCAAAAAAUAUAUUUGUAAAUUAUGUGAUGCUGGAUUAAAAUGAUAAUGUCAUAUGACAAAACUUAGUACAUCUUUACUAAAUGUAGCUAUCUUGGUUUAUUAUACAAAUUUGUGAUGGAGUGAAGUUAAGAGGAACACCAGAACUUGAAUAAACCCUGAAAAAUUGAAGCAAACGCUAACAAAUAUAUCAGCAGUAAUUUAAAUAUAAACAUACAACAAAGUCAUAUGGAAAUUAAUUAUUAAAUGUCUCACCAGUGAAUUCUGCCGCCAUCUGUUUCCUGUGAUACACCACGAGAUUUCCAGCAGGUAAAAUUAUUUUGAUUCAGUCAUUUCAUUUAUCAUUCACUUUCAUCUGAAUUGUAUACCAGGAGGCUGCAACUUUUGAAACUGUUUCAAGUCUGGUAGACAUGAUUGACUGGUCCAUCCUGAAAUGAAGCUUAAUCACUUGUCUAAUAGUUCACUAGAAUUAUUAUCAUGCCUAUAGGACAGGAUCUUACUGAUGAACAGUCAGAGCUAGAGAUCAUAGUCUUCUGCACUGUCUGUCUUAGGAAACUUACUUUGUUUUCAAGUUCCCCAUAAAGUGGGAAACAUGAGAACUAAGAACUCCUGAGAAGGAAAAAAAAAACCCCAAAAAACUCUUUUGCCAAUCAUCAUCUGGGAAGCCACUGUCUCUUAAAACCCACAUUAAUAUGACAUUCUUGGGGACCUUCCAAAAGUCAAUAGAAGGCCUCUGUACAUCCUUUAAUAUUUACAGAUAAAACUUUUUUUGCCAAUAUUUCUUCUUUUUUCAAUAAAUGUAGACACAUUCUAAAUCACAAAAUCAGUUGAGAGCUUCAGUGACAUCUGAUUCUGAAAACUAGAUCAGCUGUACCCCCAUAGUGAAAUGAGUGGUCUUAAACAUGAAUGAGUUGUUAGUGACUGGAUUCCUAAAAUGAGAUUAAUCUCUGUAAACAUAUUGGUCUAAAAUUCUGUCAUGGAGUAUGUCUUAAUUAGAAAAUGAUGGUAACAAUAGGAAUGAAUCUCUAGAACCAAAACAAGUAAUUCUGAGUGAAGAUCUGCACUAUGCAAAUUUUGAGGGGUUAUUCCUGAUUUACUGUAAUCUCGUUGUCAAAUAAUGAUCAAAGAAGUAUUCAGUUGUGAUCUUGGAAUGCAUCUUCUGCUUUACUUUCUUCUCAAGGAAUUCAGUUCACAGGCUGCAAGAUGACUCUGAGAUGCAGAUGAAGGCGUUGUCCUCACUUACGAUCAGGAGAUCUGUUUUAGAAACACACUCCUGACCAAAAACAGUUACAUGCCCUUACUCUUAGUUAUCUGAGGCUUCCUUAAUAAUCAGUGAAGGUAAACUGGCAACUCCAGAACGUGAUUUAUUGGCACUUAGACACUCUCUCAGGACUGAUGUCUUGAAAUGUUUAUUUGUUUAUUGAUAUAAAAGGAAUCUACAAUGAGUAGCUCAGAUGAUGUCUAACAGCUACAAUUGUAGCUUUGGGCUAGGAUCCAGACUUAUGGUAUCAGUCUGUUUAACAUAUCUUAUUUAGUUGCCCCCCCAAAAGAUCACCUUAACAGUUAAAAUAAACCUAUUAUUCUCAAAUUGAUCAUCGUUUUCUUUGAUCAAUCUCAGCUGUCAAGAGUUUGAGGGUUUUAGCCAAAGCCAUCUCCUAAUGGAUCCAUUCAAAAGCUGGUGUUUAAAGAAAUCAUUGUUGAGUGUUCUGAAACACAUUUAUAAUAUUCAGUAUAUAGACUAAGGAGUUUAGCUUAGAAUUUUUUUAGCCUAUGGGUUCAUAUAUCUGAAAUGAAUUUUGUAUACAAGAAAGUAUAUUUUUAUGGAGUUGUUGCUACUUCAUUUUCUUAAUCUUCAUAUUUCUCAUGUAAGGUUUAGUUUGUUUUUCUCCAGGAUUUCUCUUUUAAGUUCAUAAAUUGUUCUGGGGAUUAAAUAACUAAAAAGCUAGUUGUGUAGGGAUUUUGUUAUGAGCAAUUUCCUGGAUGAAAGAUGAAUUUAUUUUGUGUAAUAUUUACCAUCUACAAGUUAGCAGUUAUAGAAGCAGUUUUCUAUGCUGCUUCUCUAGGCAAUGAAG